AUACCCAAUUAUAAUAUUUACAUUAUACAUAUAUUUAUAUGAUCAUAUUAUUUACCUUUUAGCGUUACUUCUGAAAUCUCACGUCAUAGCUCGUGACCUAUACGAGACACUAGACGUUACUAAUCUUUCUAGAAGACGUGUUGUAGCAAUCUAAUUAUUUAAAAACUUACCAUAGAGAUAAUUUAAUAAAUAUUCAAAUAUAAAAAAAUUACCUAAAAUAAUAUUAUUCCAAAGCUCAUAUCAUAAUCUUAAUAAUUUUAUAAAACUUAGUUAAAGGUCAAUUGAAAUAUUAGCUAAGAUAAUAAGUUGAAACAAUAUAAAAGAAUUUUUUAAAAUAUGCUUAAAAGCCCUUCAAUAUAUUGUAUAAAAGAAUGAGUCUAAGAUUAAUAUAUUUAUUUAAGUGAAACUUUGGUCUGAUUUAAGUUUCAGCCUAGCCCCAAUUAUAGAAAACAUUUAAGGUUACUAGAACAGUUUCUGUAAAUACAACCAGCCCAGUAAAAUAAUCAAGCCCACAAGAAAUCAACUCACUUAACAAUUGAAACAAGUUUAUGAAAUAUACUAAAAUCAAGCCCAAAUUAAAACAAAAGUCCAUAUUAAUGAAACAUGUCUAAUAAACCUCAAGCCCAGCCCACAAGGAAAAUAGCCCACGUAUAUGAUCAGGUUUAAGACAUAAAGUCUGCCUAGUUACUAGAGGGUAAAGAGGUAACUUCACCAAAAGUACCUUUAUGAGGCAGUUUACGGAAAUGUUAGGUGCAGUGGGUUGAAGGGCAUUUGUGUAAUAACUAAAACUUGCAUGUGCUUUUCAGUAAAGUAAAAGAAAUAAAAGGAUAUGAACAAAGCAAUUAAACAUUUGCUGGAGAAAGCGGCCAGCGAUGGGAUCUAAGGCUUGCUAAGGAAAGGUAACAUGUGACAAGAGAGAGAGAAAAAAGGUGGCAGACUGCCGUGGCUUACCAGAUGGUGGGGUGUUCAACGAAGUGGUUGACUGGCAGAGUCUAUGCAGAUCUGAAGGUGCUCUAAUGAGGUGGCUGGGUCAAAAAAAAAAAGAAGGGGCUGCACGAGUGCUAUCUUUUUCUUUUCCCUCUUUGUCAACUAAAAUUUCUGAAUCAUUAAUCUGGAGGUCUGGUGAGAUUUUAUAAAGGUGAGGGAAAGAGCUUUACGAGAGUUUUUAGGAGAUUAGCUAGAGUUUUUAAGGGAUUAGCUAGAUCUGAUUUGGUUUUGAUCUUAGAAUCUUUUCAAAAAAUUUUUAAACCUAUCCGAUAAUAACAAAGAAUACAAGAUAAAAAGAAAGCACUUUAAAACUCUAAUUAAUCUGAUUCAUUAUCUUAUUUAAUAAAUAAAUAAUUAUAAGCAUCUGAAGAUAAAUUAUCUAUCAAAAAAGUAUCUGAAGAUAAAUAAAUAAGUAAUUAAAAAAAAAUAAAUAUAAAAAUAACAUAACUAAAUCAUUUCUAACUGAAUUAACCUAAAUUCUAGGUCCAUAGGUUACACAUGAUAUCAUCAGUCAGGAGCUUGAGACAAAAUAAUAAUGAAAGUCAUGUUUAUAAUCAUCUGUAUCUAUUUAGAUGAACUGAGCUUGGAUUCUUGCAGAGCAGGUAUGUCGGAGCCAACAUGUCGGCAAUUCUUUUUCAAAAGAUUUUGAAAAUAUGCAAAAUAAUUUUGGGGGUAUCGUUUCUCUUUUUGGAGACUUGUCCAUGAGGCAGGGAAUUUUAUUUGCUUUCGGCCUCUCUUUACUGUAAGGAAUACAAUAAUAGAUCAUUCCUAAGAAGGAUACGAAAAUAAAGAGAAAUAACUAUCCAUUCUUUGUAGAGAAAAAGAAACAUACUGAAUAUCAAGUCGCAUUAUAAGGUUCUCUUCUAAUAAGAGAUGCUUAUUCGAAUUA